rnacentral:tRNA from 1 species
CGGGGUGUAGCGCAGCCUGGUAGCGCGUUCGGUUCGGGACCGAGAGGUCGUAGGUUCAAAUCCUAUCACCCCGA